rnacentral:rRNA from 1 species
AACGAACGCUGGCGGCAGGCCUAACACAUGCAAGUCGAGCGCGCCUUCGGGCGAGCGGCGGACGGGUGAGUAACGCGUGGGAAUAUGCCCUUCUCUACGGAAUAGUCCUGGGAAACUGGGGGUAAUACCGUAUACGCCCUUUGGGGGAAAGAUUUAUCGGGGAAGGAUUAGCCCGCGUUGGAUUAGGUAGUUGGUGGGGUAAUGGCCUACCAAGCCGACGAUCCAUAGCUGGUUUGAGAGGAUGAUCAGCCACACUGGGACUGAGACACGGCCCAGACUCCUACGGGAGGCAGCAGUGGGGAAUCUUAGACAAUGGGGGCAACCCUGAUCUAGCCAUGCCGCGUGAGUGAUGAAGGCCUUAGGGUUGUAAAGCUCUUUCAGCUGGGAAGAUAAUGACGGUACCAGCAGAAGAAGCCCCGGCUAACUCCGUG